rnacentral:rRNA from 1 species
AGUGAACGCUGGCGGUAGGCCUAACACAUGCAAGUCGAACGGCAGCACAGUAAGAGCUUGCUCUUACGGGUGGCGAGUGGCGGACGGGUGAGGAAUACAUCGGAAUCUACUUUUUCGUGGGGGAUAACGUAGGGAAACUUACGCUAAUACCGCAUACGACCUACGGGUGAAAGCAGGGGAUCUUCGGACCUUGCGCGAUUGAAUGAGCCGAUGUCGGAUUAGCUAGUUGGCGGGGUAAAGGCCCACCAAGGCGACGAUCCGUAGCUGGUCUGAGAGGAUGAUCAGCCACACUGGAACGGAGACACGGUCCGGACUCCUACGGGAGGCAGCAGUGGGGAAUAUUGGACAAUGGGCGCAAGCCUGAUCCAGCCAUACCGCGUGGGUGAAGAAGGCCUUCGGGUUGUAAAGCCCUUUUGUUGGGAAAGAAAAGCAGCAGGUUAAUACCCCGCUGUUCUGACGGUACCCAAAGAAUAAGCACCGGCUAACUUCGUG